CGGAGAAGAGCGGCGGACGGGUGAGUAACGCGUGGGUAACCUGCCUCAUACAGGGGGAUAACAGUUAGAAAUGACUGCUAAUACCGCAUAAGCGCACAGUAUCGCAUGGUACCGUGUGAAAAGCCGAGACGGUAUGAGAUGGACCCGCGUCUGAUUAGCUAGUUGUGGGGUAACGGCCCACCAAGGCGACGAUCAGUAGCCGACCUGAGAGGGUGACCGGGCCACAUUGGGACUGAGACACGGCCCAGACUCCUACGGGAGGCAGCAGUGGGGGAUAUUGCACAAUGGAGGAAACUCUGAUGCAGCAACGCCGCGUGAGGGAAGAAGGUUUUCGGAUUGUAAACCUCUGUUUUUAGUGAAGAAACAAAUGACGGUAGCUAAAGAGGAAGCCACGGCUAACUACGUG
rnacentral:rRNA from 1 species